GCCCACAGUUAGGAUUUAUACAGAGGAGUACUCCAGAUGGGAAACUUGAAGCAUACUGCUUAAGCCAUUUCAUUCUAGCCGGACCAGACGAUUGCCAUUGGGAUGUAGCGUAUGGGAUAAGCCCCCUGGUACAUAGUUGUGUGUUUUUAGUUGUAGGUCCUUCUAGUUGUGGCAUGUGGGAUGCUGCCUCGGCAUGGCUUGAUGAGCGGUGCCAUGUCCGCGUCCAGGAUCCGAAACAGCGAAACCCUGGGCUGCUGAAGUGAAGCGCGUUAACUUAACCACUUGGCCACGGGGCCGGCCCCAAAACCAGCACUCUUAACUCAACUUCUUUGCCUCUAAUUUGUUUCAAGCCAGGAAGAAAUACAAGAGGAAAAUAUAAUCUGUUAGCAAACUAUGCGAAGCAUAAAGUUUUUACAUCCAUAUAUUCUACAUUUUCAAAGUGGAAGGGAUGUUGU
rnacentral:lncRNA from 1 species